AAGAGUUUGAUCCUGGCUCAGGAUGAACGCUAGCGGCAGGCUUAACACAUGCAAGUCGAGGGGUAACAGGGAUUGCUUGCAAUCCGCUGACGACCGGCGCACGGGUGCGUAACGCGUAUGCAACCUACCUUCUACAGGGGGAUAGUCAAUAGAAAUGUUGAAUAAUACCCCAUACGAUCUUUGAAUAGCAUUAUUUAAAGAAGAAAGCUCCGGCGGUAGAAGAUGGGCAUGCGUCCUAUUAGUUAGUUGGUAAGGUAACGGCUUACCAAGACUUCGAUAGGUAGGGGUCCUGAGAGGGAGACCCCCCACACUGGUACUGAGACACGGACCAGACUCCUACGGGAGGCAGCAGUGAGGAAUAUUGGACAAUGGAGGCAACUCUGAUCCAGCCAUGCCGCGUGCAGGAAGACUGCCCUAUGGGUUGUAAACUGCUUUUAUACAGGAAGAAAUAUACCUACGUGUAGGUAUUUGACGGUACUGUACGAAUAAGGAUCGGCUAACUCCGUGCCAGCAGCCGCGGUAAUACGGAGGAUCCAAGCGUUAUCCGGAAUCAUUGGGUUUAAAGGGUCCGUAGGCGGUCUUUUAAGUCAGAGGUGAAAUCCUACAGCUCAACUGUAGAAUUGCCUUUGAUACUGAAAGACUUGAGUUAUUGUGAAGUAGUUAGAAUGUGUGGUGUAGCGGUGAAAUGCAUAGAGAUCACACAGAAUACCGAUUGCGAAGGCAGAUUACUAACAAUAUACUGACGCUGAGGGACGAAAGCGUGGGUAGCGAACAGGAUUAGAUACCCUGGUAGUCCACGCCGUAAACGAUGGAUACUAGCUGUUCGACCAACAUUGGUUGGUUGAGUGGCUAAGCGAAAGUGAUAAGUAUCCCACCUGGGGAGUACGGUCGCAAGACUGAAACCCAAAGGAAUUGACGGGGGCCCGCACAAGCGGUGGAGCAUGUGGUUUAAUUCGAUGAUACGCGAGGAACCUUACCAGGGCUUAAAUGUAAGUUGCAUGAUUUAGAGAUAGAUCUUUCUUCGGACUACUUACAAGGUGCUGCAUGGUUGUCGUCAGCUCGUGCCGUGAGGUGUCAGGUUAAGUCCUAUAACGAGCGCAACCCCUGUCGUUAGUUGCCAGCAAGUUAAGUUGGGCACUCUAGCGAGACUGCCAGUGCAAACUGUGAGGAAGGUGGGGAUGACGUCAAAUCAUCACGGCCCUUACGUCCUGGGCUACACACGUGCUACAAUGGUCGGUACAGAGAGCAGCCACUACGCGAGUAGGAGCGAAUCUAUAAAACCGAUCUCAGUUCGGAUCGCAGUCUGCAACUCGACUGCGUGAAGCUGGAAUCGCUAGUAAUCGGAUAUCAGCCAUGAUCCGGUGAAUACGUUCCCGGGCCUUGUACACACCGCCCGUCAAGCCAUGGAAGCUGGGAGUACCUGAAGUCGGUUACCGCAAGGAGCUGCCUAGGGUAAAACUGGUAACUGGGGCUAAGUCGUAACAAGGUA
rnacentral:rRNA from 1 species